rnacentral:rRNA from 1 species
UACGUAGGGGGCAAGCGUUGUCCGGAUUUAUUGGGCGUAAAGAGCGUGUAGGCGGCUAUACAGGUCCGUUGUGAAAACUCGAGGCUCAACCUCGAGACGCCGAUGGAAACCGUAUGGCUAGAGUCCGGAAGAGGAGAGCGGAAUUCCUGGUGUAGCGGUGAAAUGCGCAGAUAUCAGGAAGAACACCAGUGGCGAAGGCGGCUCACUGGCCCGGAACUGACGCUGAGACGCGAAAGCGUGGGGAGCAAACAGG